AAAAAGACAAACCCUGGUUUUCAUGUCCAACGUUUGACCGUCCGUCUUAUUUAAAAAAAUUAUGAAAAAAAAUUAAAAAGACAAGUCACACAUAAAGUAUUAAUAAUAUUUUUUUAUUUAAAAGAAUUAUAAAAAAAUUUCAUACAAGACGGACAGUUAAAAUUGGACACGAAAAUAUAGGGUUUGUUUUUUU
rnacentral:pre_miRNA from 1 species